GACGAACGCUGGCGGCGUGCUUAACACAUGCAAGUCGAGCGGUAAGGCCCUUCGGGGUACACGAGCGGCGAACGGGUGAGUAACACGUGGGCAACCUGCCCUUCACUUCGGGAUAAGCCCGGGAAACUGGGUCUAAUACCGGAUACGAACACUUCAGGCAUCUGGGGUGUUGGAAAGUUCCGGCGGUGAAGGAUGGGCCCGCGGCCUAUCAGCUUGUUGGUGGGGUGAUGGCCUACCAAGGCGACGACGGGUAGCCGGCCUGAGAGGGCGACCGGCCACACUGGGACUGAGACACGGCCCAGACUCCUACGGGAGGCAGCAGUGGGGAAUAUUGCACAAUGGGCGAAAGCCUGAUGCAGCGACGCCGCGUGAGGGAUGACUGCCUUCGGGUUGUAAACCUCUUUCAGUAGGGACGAAGCGCAAGUGACGGUACCUACAGAAGAAGCACCGGCCAACUACGUGCCAGCCGCCGCCGUAAAAC
rnacentral:rRNA from 1 species